GAUGAACGCUAGCGGCAUGCCUUACACAUACAAGUCAAACGGUAACGGGUCCUUCGGGAUGCCGACGAGUGGCGAACGGGUGAGUAAUAUAUCGGAACGUGCCCAGUAGUGGGGGAUAACUGCUCGAAAGAGCAGCUAAUACCGCAUACGACCUGAGGGUGAAAGGGGGGGAUCGCAAGACCUUUCGCUAUUGGAGCGGCCGAUAUCAGAUUAGCUAGUUGGUGGGGUAAAGGCCUACCAAGGCAACGAUCUGUAGUUGGUCUGAGAGGACGACCAGCCACACUGGGACUGAGACACGGCCCAGACUCCUACGGGAGGCAGCAGUGGGGAAUUUUGGACAAUGGGCGCAAGCCUGAUCCAGCAAUGCCGCGUGCAGGAAGAAGGCCUUCGGGUUGUAAACUGCUUUUGUCAGGGAAGAAAUCUUCUGGGCUAAUACCCCGGGAGGAUGACGGUACCUGAAGAAUAAGCACCGGCUAACUACGUGCCAGCCGCCGCAGUAA
rnacentral:rRNA from 1 species